rnacentral:rRNA from 1 species
GAUGAACGCUGGCAGAAUGCUUAACACAUGCAAGUCUUUGGCGAAGCUGUGCUUGCACAGCCUAGCCAAGGCGGACGGGUGAGUAACGCGUAAGGAACUUGCCCUGCAGUCAGGGAUAACAGACGGAAACGACUGAUAAGACCUGGUAAAGUCAGGCGGACUCAUGUCCAGCCUGAUGAAAAGAGAUGCUGCAGGAGAGCCUUGCGUCCUAUUAGCUUGUUGGUGGGGUAACGGCCCACCAAGGCGAUGAUAGGUAGCCGGCCUGAGAGGGUGGACGGCCACAAGGGGACUGAGAUACGGCCCUUACUCCUACGGGAGGCGAGAGUGGGGAAUAUUGGACAAGGGGGGCAACCCUGAUCGAGCAAUUCUGUGUGCACGAUGAAGGUUUUCGGAGUGUAAAGUGCUUUCAGCAGGGAAGAAAAAAAUGACGGUACCUGCAGAAGAAGCGACGGCUAAAUACGUG